UACGUAGGUGGCAAGCGUUGUCCGGAUUUAUUGGGUUUAAAGGGUGCGUAGGCGGCCCUGUAAGUCAGUGGUGAAAUACUCUAGCUUAACUAGAGGGGUGCCAUUGAUACUGCGGGGCUUGAGUACAGACGAGGUUGGCGGAAUUGAUUGUGUAGCGGUGAAAUGCAUAGAUACAAUCAAGAACUCCGAUUGCGUAGGCAGCUAACUAGGCUGUAACUGACGCUGAGGCACGAAAGCGUGGGGAGCGAACAGG
rnacentral:rRNA from 1 species